rnacentral:rRNA from 1 species
UACGUAGGGUGCGAGCGUUGUCCGGAAUUAUUAGGCGUAAAGAGCUUGUAGGCGGUUUGUCGCGUCUGCCGUGAAAGCCCAGGGCUUAACCCUGGGUCUGCGGUGGGUACGGGCAGACUGGAGUUCGGCAGGGGAGACUGGAAUUCCUGGUGUAGCGGUGAAAUGCGCAGAUAUCAGGAGGAACACCGGUGGCGAAGGCGGGUCUCUGGGCCGAUACUGACGCUGAGGAGCGAAAGCGUGGGGAGCGAACAGG